AGGCCAUCACAACUAUGUUAACAACUGGCUGUUUGGAGGAGAAAGUAGAGGAGAGACGUUUCGUAUAUAAAUGAGCAUUUUGGUCAAUAUUGAUGGAAGAAGGAGCCCCUUUUAAGGGUGCAGGUUGCACUCACAUGCUUCUCUGGGGGGACAGAUUAGGGCUGGGUGUGGAGACAACCAGAUCCUACAGACUGGCUUUCGCUUGAGCAUUAUGAAUUUGGACAAGCAGGUUUAGGACAAAUAAGAGAAAACCCAUUGUUGCAGCCUCCCCCCUUUACAUAGACAAUUAGAUGAAAACAGGGGGCACAUGGCCACUUGCUGUGGAAGUCCAAAGUCCAGCCGCUGUUUUCUUGCUACCAGAUGCUUACUGUUGGUAUGCUGAGCCAGUCGUCAUUCCUGAGCACUUGAACUUGUGUCUUUGCAGUUGCAUCUGCUGUGAGGAGUCACAAAGAUCUUCACUUCAGCACAGCCAGAGCACUGUACUUGGGGCAGGGCGGCUGGGAGAAAACAAUGUGAGAAGGAUCUGUAAGUUCUUGAUCCAACAUCUGACUACAAGGUAACUCAGCAGCAUCUCGCAGCACAUCUUGGCUCUACUGCCUGUUAGUCUUUUUUAUCAUCCUCUCCAUGUUAUGGCUGAGAACAUUUCACUAUUGUUUUGCCAAAUCGGCUUUGCGAGACUUACAGGCUCCAGAGGGCUGCUGUAGACAUUUACAGGAAAAGUCAAACAUUUGAAAGCAAGGGUCAGUCUAAAGGUUCGUUCUUUAUUUGGGGACAGCUUAAGAAUGAUUUAAUAAGGUUAACUUCUGAAAGAAACACUCUGAAGUCCUCCUGGAGAAAUAUGCUGGCAUCCUUGCCAGAGAGUUUAUAGCUAGGAUUCCUCCUGUACUGUAGAGGUAAUUACCGCAGCUGCUUUGGAAAAGAUUCUACGUAUAAAGCCGCCCUCUUAUGAGCUGCAGAGCUCACAGGAUCCUAAAUCCACAAGGAGAGGCUCAAACCUUAGUCUGAUUAAAGUUAAGUAAAUCUUGGAGCGGUGUCGGCGUUUCCCAUGCCUAAUUCCUUACCUUUGAAUGAAGUAUUAUGAAUGGAGUGCAAUGUUAAGCCCAGUCUGAACCUUGUCAGCGAUUUGUUAACAUGGAAAGGACGUCUGGUCUGUAUAGCCUGCUCAAAGUCCACAAGACGGUGAAGGGGAAACUUUGACAUUCGGGGGCAUUAAGUAUGGACAACAAAGAAGACUUUUAGCCAGCGGCUUGGAACAGUCACAGCAGUGACCUGGGUCAAGUUACCCCAGCCAUCUUGUCUUCUCUGGCUGGUCCUGGAGCAGAUCUGGGUUAACUGCAGCUGUAGAAGAUGAUAUGAGUUGGAAAAUGCCACAACACUCAUUUCUUUCUCCAGCAAUUGCCAUGAGGAACUGGAGUCUCUAUUGGCUUGAGCUCUCCUUUCAGCUACCGUCUAGACGUGAGCUGCCAAACCUCCAGGGCUAAUCGGAAGCCUCUAGUUUUUGCUGGCUCCCUCCAGGUGGUGAUGGGAGGACUUGAAGCUCCAGAACUUUAUAACUCCCCAGCAUUCCUCAAAGCAAAGACCACACAGCUCAUCACAUGCCAAAGGAAGAAAACUCUGGUUUGGUUUGAGUCCACGAUGACUCAGCAACAACUUUUGAUGACGAGGACAAAAUAGCUUCCCAAGUAAAGAAGAGCAGCCAUCUGACUAAGGCUCUCAGGUGUCGACCCAUUCAGACACGGAGUUGUUCUGUGUUGCAUAAAGACUCCUUUUUCACAAGAAUGUCUAAGAGAGAUAGACCAAACUAGUCUCCCCUUUAAACAUAAACAUCCCUUCUGGCAAACUGGAUUCCAUUUUCAACCUUCCACUGCUUUGAAAUAUUAGAGCAACGUAAUGAUGUAAUCUUGUGACCUGAGUGAACGGAUGGCAAACAGCCCAGCAGGAGGAAUACCUGGCUGCGUUGCUCACUUCAAGGAGGAAAUAUUUGUACAGCUACUGGCAGUGGCCUAAUUCUGUAGACAAACACGGUCUCGCCAGUGACCAUUUUUCUUCCUGGGUCACCUUGUACAGCAGGGCAAUUUGCACGCCUAACCUGAAUGCUGCUGGAUUCCUUAGCGGUUGCCAUGCAGACUGCACGUCAAUUGAAAAACCCUGAGUUUUGGGUGAUGCUGUGAAACAAUAGCCCCGUUUCUAUAUUAUGUUGAAUGCUAAAGGAUAAAAAAAAAUGGAUGGAGGCAACUUAGCAUGAGCUUAUCGCUAUUUGUACAAGGUGUUUUAGUGGUGGUGGGCUUGCUCAAUAGCGGUAGGCAUGGGAAUUCUGGUGCUACAAGCAUGUCUCUCUGGCUGUGAAACAUUGGAUGGAGUGGAAUAAUACUAGAAUCACAGGGAGUCAGCCUGUUCAUUUAUCUAGGCUCGUAUUAUCUGCUCUGAUUGGCAGAGGCUCUCCAGGAUCUUUCACCAGCACCCAAUCUCUCUUGUGCCUUGAACCAUGGAUCUUCUGCAUGCAAAGCUCUUCUUCUUACCUAUGUUCCUUCCCAGGACCAAAUACACUGCCUGGACACCUGUAGCCAAUUUAUACAAACUAUAGCAGUGUCAACUUACUGUCUAUCACAAUGAUGCCUAAAACCACUUCUAUAAAACUGAACGACAGCUCAUUCAGACUGGCUUCUCUCCUCUACAGCUAAACAGCUUGUUGUUGAUAAACUGAGAUUUAACAAGGCACAGUAUGAAAUACAAGGCUGUGAAAUACCACCCCACCCUUAAUGCCUCUUUGGUCUUCCAGGCAAUUUGUCUUCCCAGUUCACAGUCUCUGAACCAGGGGUGGCCCAAGAAAUUUUGCUGCUUGCAAGGUGAUGCCUCAAUUCUACAUAGUGAAACCAAGUCUUCUUGGCAGCUGAAUCUUACUUACACACUAGUGAAAGAACAGCAUCUUCCGCCACACCUGAGGGCAGCAGAGCAUCUUAGGGAUCACCUGACUGAUAACCUGGUGCACACAGAGACCUGUCCUCCAACACCUUGUCUGCUGCCUGAGUCAGCUGCUUCACUCUGCCUAACGGUAGGGACCAACUCCCAGCCACCAAAUCUUCCUGGCCUGUCUACCAAUGUCCUGCAAACAAGUAAAAUACCUGGAACCAACAGCAAAUUAGAAGUAAGAAGACCUGUAAUGCCAGCCAAGGGCAUUUCAAGGUAUGUAGCCUUGGAAGUGGGGAAGAGCUUGACUUUUUGACCAUUUUUACCAUGGGUUUAUGAAGCCUGGAAAAUGUGUGCUUCAAGAUAUGGUGAAAGCCAAACCGGGCAAAGAGGGGAAAUCAUUAACUCUGAAAGGCCCUGGAGUGGUUUAAUAAUUGUUGCUCUAAGGGGAUCUGCAUAGACUGGAAAGGAGGGUUUGAUAAAUGCGACUGUACUCUGUUGGAGCUAUUUGCAGGGGAGCUGCAUUAACUACAGUGGACACUCGGGUUGCGAACGUGAUCUGUGCGGGAGGCAAGUUCUUAACCU